AAAAGCAUAUAUCAUGAUUCAUGAGACAUCCUGAGACAUGACUGGUUGCACCUGCAAUUUAAAAAAUUUAGAUUGAAAAUGUAAUAUAAUUUAUUGAAAAUACAUGUGAGCAAGUCUGUCUUUGGAAUAUUGAUCAGAAGUUUCCUAAAAUUGCUGUUAAAAACACUUGUUUUACACAUGAUUUUUAGGAAUUAAUGGUAAAAAUAGGUAGUUUUUUAUUUUUCACAAAAAAUAUUGUAAAAAGGCCAUUGAAACAGAUGAAAUUGGCCGAAUUCACAGGUGUUUUUAUCUGAUUCAUGGGUGGCUUUUGCCCACAUUUCCUCUUAGGGGAGCAACAAAGGCCUAGACUGUAAAAAAGUGUAAAAAAGUCAUAGAAUAUCUAUGCUCCAAGUCCAAGCCCACUUAGCCCAGCUGUUAGCUAGAAAAUUCAGGCUGAAAAUAGGAAGAAUAUCAAGCAAGAAGAUAUCCAGCCUGGCAACAUGAAGAUUUGGUCGGAUCCUUUU
rnacentral:lncRNA from 1 species